rnacentral:rRNA from 1 species
AUUGAACGCUGGCGGCAGGCCUAACACAUGAAAGUCGAGCGAGAGGCGGACGGGUGAGUAAUGUCUGGGAAACUGCCUGAUGGAGGGGGAUAACUACUGGAAACGGUAGCUAAUACCGUAUACCAUCACAUGUGCCCAGGUGGGAUUAGCUAGUAGUGGGGGUAACGGCUCACCUAGGCGACGAUCCCUUGCUGGUCUGAGAGGAUGAACAGCAACACGGGAAUUGAGACACGGUCCCGACUCCUACGGGAGGCAGCAGUGGGGAAUAUUGCACAAUGGGCGAAAGCCGGAUGCAGCCAUGCCGCGUGUGUGAAGAAGGCCGUCGGGUUGUAAAGCACUUUCAGCGGGGAGGCGUUACCCGCAGAAGAAGCACCGGCUAACUCCGUGCCAGCAGCCGCGGUAAUAC